rnacentral:rRNA from 1 species
GGAUUAAUUCGAUGCAAACGCGAAGAACCUUACUACCUUGACAUGUCCGGAACUUGCCAGAGAUGGCUUGGUGCCGAAAGGGAAUCGGAACACAGGUGCUGCAUGGCUGUCGUCAGCUCGUGUCGUGAGAUGUUGGGUUAAGUCCCGCAACGAGCGCAACCCUUAUCAUUAGUUGCUACGCAAGGGCACUCUAAUGAGACUGCCGGUGACAAACCGGAGGAAGGUGGGGAUGACGUCAAGUCCUCAUGGCCCUUAUGGGUAGGGCUUCACACGUCAUACAAUGGUCGGUACAGAGGGUUGCCAAGCCGCGAGGCGGAGCCAAUCCCACAAAGCCGAUCGUAGUCCGGAUUGUUCUCUGCAACUCGAGAGCAUGAAGUCGGAAUCGCUAGUAAUCGCAGGUCAGCAUACUGCGGUGAAUACGUUCCCGGGCCUU